rnacentral:lncRNA from 1 species
UUUUUAUUAUUAUUUUUUUUUUUUUUUUUUUUUUUCUUCCGCCUAAUUUUGAUAUUGCGACAAAUGUUUGUUUCGCAAUAUGUCGCUUAGAUAUUUCUCAUAUUGUAUUGUACAGUUUAUGCGCUUUUACAUUUAACCCUGCUAAGCCGAACACUUUUCUUUGUAAGAGUUAUCUCCCUAUUCACUGUUUAUCAUCAGAGUGCAUCUCCUUUGUAACAAAAAAAGAUAGCGACAAAAUUCUUUUUACAAAUUGUUCGUUACAUCUUAAGGAAAUUUUGGCUUAUUUGGAUCGAAGCGAUUCGAUGAAAUUUUAUAGGAGUUAUCUACCUUUACAAAAUUAUUUUCUCAAUAUGUGUUAUUAACUAAUAAACCGUCAACCGUAUAACCCUGGAAUGUAUUUAUUUGAGAUCCCUAGGCCCUUUAUUAGAAAAUGGGGUCAAGGUCAAAGGUCAAGGUCAAGUUCU